UACGGAGGGGACUAGCGUUGUUCGGAAUUACUGGGCGUAAAGCGCACGUAGGCGGAUUUGUAAGUCAGGGGUGAAAUCCCGGGGCUCAACCUCGGAACUGCGUCUGAAACUACUCGACUAGAGUACUGGAGAGGGUAACGGAAUUCACGGUGUAGCAGUGAAAUGCGUAGAUAUCGUGAGGAACACCAGAGGCGAAGGCGGUUACCUGGACAGUUACUGACGCUCAGGCACGAAAGCAUGGGGAGCAAAAGGG
rnacentral:rRNA from 1 species